UCCCUGGUGGUCCAGUGGUUAAGACUCUGCAUUUUCGAUGCAGGGGACUCAGGUUCAAUCCCUGGUCGGGGAG